rnacentral:rRNA from 1 species
GCUCAGAACGAACGCGGGCGGCGCGUUUUAAGCAUGCAAGUCUAACGAUGGUGGUAGCAAUACCAUGAGAGUGGCGAACGGGUGAGUAACACGUAGGUAAUCUACCUUUGGAUGGGGGAUAGCUCAUGGAAACAUGGGGUAAUACCGCAUGAAGUCUGCUGGCAUAGAGCUGGCAGAUGAAAGACGCAAUUGUGUCGUCUGGAGAUGAGCCUGCGGUCCAUUAGCUAGUUGGCAGUGUAAUAGACUACCAAGGCGACGAUGGAUAGCCGGCCUGAGAGGGUGUACGGCCACACUGGAACUGAGACACGGUCCAGACUCCUACGGGAGGCAGCAGCUAAGAAUCUUCCGCAAUGGGCGAAAGCCUGACGGAGCGACGCCGCGUGAAUGAUGAAGGCCGAAAGGUUGUAAAAUUCUUUUCUUGGGGAAGAAUAAUGAUUGGAAUGGAAUGCCAGUCAGAUGACAUUAACCAGGGAAUAAGCCCCGGCUAAUUACGUGCCAGCAGCCGCGGUAAUAUGUAUGGGGCGAGCGUUGUUCGGAUUUAUUGGGCGUAAAGGGCGUGUAGGCGGUUUCGUAAGCUUGGUGUGAAAUAUUCUGGCUUAACCAGAAAAACGCACUGGGAACUGCGAGACUAGAGUUUAGGAGGGGAAGCUGGAAUUCCAGGUGUAGGGGUGAAAUCAGUAGAUAUGUGGAAGAACACCAAAGGAGAAGGCAAGCUUCUGGACAUAGACUGACGUUGAGGCGCGAAAGCGUGGGGAGCAAACAGGAUUAGAUACCCUGGUAGUCCACGCUGUAAACGAUGUGCACUAGGUGUAGGGGGCUUACGGCUCUGUGCGCCGUAGUUAACGUGUUAAGUG